UGAUGGCAGUCCUUUGUGUCCAAAGCAAACAUUGUCUCAUAUAAAAUGCAUGAUCUCUGACUUUGAUUUGCUGAAAGAGGUUUCUCAUCCCGUGCACCAACCUGGUACCACCUUUACCAUUGAUGAAGUUUGGUCCCCCCCGCCUGCUACUUGGAGCAAGUUAAAUGUGGAUGCUAGUUGGACAAUUUCUCAUCCUAAUGCUGGUCUUGGAGGUGUAAUUCGGAAUUCUAGUGGUGUGUUCAUGGGUGGUUUUGCUGCUUGUAAAAUUGCAAAUUCGGUUCUUAAAGCUGAAGCCCACGCAGCUCUUGCUGGGUUAUCUCUUGCUGCUGAGAUGGGUCUGGCUAAUGUUGUCAUUGAAUCGGACUCCCAAGUGCUUGUGAAUUGCGUAAGGGGCAAAAUUCCCAAAGGAAUUUGGUCCAUCUACCCCAUCCUCUCUGCCAUUAGAAGCUGUUGCAACAAUUUUAUCUCUUGUGAUUGGCGAUGGAUCUCUCGCCGGGCCAAUAAGGCCGCUGACGCCGUUGCGGCUAUUGCUAGGAGGACGAAGUGCGAUAAGGUUUGGCUUAACAGACCCCCUUCUUCCCUUGUGUUUGUUCUUCAAUCGGAUGGUCUGCCUUGCCCCCCUUGUUAAUCUCCUUUUAGCUAGAGGCUGACGUGCUCCUUUGGUGACGUCCUAGUUUGUGGCCC
rnacentral:lncRNA from 1 species